rnacentral:rRNA from 1 species
UACGAAGGGGGCUAGCGUUGCUCGGAUUGACUGGGCGUAAAGGGCGCGUAGGCGGUUUGUACAGUCAGACGUGAAAUUCCCGGGCUCAACCUGGGGGCUGCGUUUGAUACGUGCAGACUUGAGUUCGGAAGAGGGUCGUGGAAUUCCCAGUGUAGAGGUGAAAUUCGUAGAUAUCAGGAGGAACACCGGUGGCGAAGGCGGGACUCUGGGCCGAUACUGACGCUGAGGAGGCGAAAGCGUGGGGAGCAAACAGG